UUUCCUUUCAUUCAAUUUCAGGAUUAAGUCCUCUUGAUUCUGAACUGACGAAUAACGCUGCAAAUUCCACGAACACGACUACUCCCAUAAGCAGGCGUCCAUUUUCCUGGAAAGAACGAACACAGAAGAGCGGAAAGAAUGGGCGUUCCACGCUAAACUUCCAAGAAGAUUGGCCAUAAAAGACUCAACACAAGCCCAGCCUGGGUUAAGCUGGAUAUUGGAGGAGCUGUAAGAUAGCCAAAGGCCAGCAGCUAACAGUUUGAAGAGUGAGUUCAACUUGCCCUCUGUCUGAGCGAGUACUCCCAGUUCCCGACAGAUAAGUUUGGCUUGCACGAUCUCUGCGUGACCCCUGCGUGACACAGAUGGAAGCGUGCGACUGAGAAGGUCGCUGGAUGUCAGAGGAGAUCGCAAGAGAUGAGCUUGUUUAUGGAAGGAUAGAUCUAGAAACGACAAAUCAGGUCACCCCAGCGUGACGUACUUACUACACCAGCUGUGAACCGUUGGUUCCUGCAGUCUUGAAACAAUCAGACAGCCUGAUUCUUCAUUUCUUCAACAUUGACUCCUGGUUGAAAAGAUCACACGUUGAAAGAUUUUAAGGAGUCUUCACACAGUCACAAUUGACACUCCACCGACUUACCAGGUUACGACAGCCAAAGGGAGACAACAGAUAUAACUAAUAACGAAA